GGGAUCCGAUCUCGCCGCCCGUCGCGAGGCGGACGGAGGGGACGGAUGAGGUUACCUGGAAAAAAUCGGGGCGAUCUAGGCGGGCGAACCUCGCCAACGAACGAUAGGACAUGGGAUAACGGAAGAGGGCAUCGGCUCGACUUCGUCGGUUCCUCGAGCUGAGGCACGUACGGUGAAUAGGGACGGUCGGGGGCCGCCCGUACCGGGUCGCGAGAGGUGAAAUUCUAGGAUCGACCCGAGACGAACCGCCGCGAAAGCAUUCGGCAAGGACGCUUUCAUUAAUCAAGAACGAAAGUCGGGGGAUCGAAGACGAUCAGAUACCGUCGUAGUCCCGACCGUAAACGAUGCCGACCGAGGGCCCGGAGGAGUUACGUACGACCCUCCGGGCCCUCCCGCCGAGAAAUCAGGAGUAUUCGGGUUCCGGGGGGAGGUAUGGUCGCAAGGCCGAACUUAAAGGAAUUGACGGAAGGGCACCACCAGGAGUGGAAUCUGCGGCUUAAUUUGACCCAACGCGGGAAAACUCACCAGGUCA
rnacentral:rRNA from 1 species